rnacentral:rRNA from 1 species
AUUGAACGCUGGCGGCAGGCCUAACACAUGCAAGUCGAACGAGUGGCGGACGGGUGAGUAAUGUCUGGGAAACUGCCUGAUGGAGGGGGAUAACUACUGGAAACGGUAGCUAAUACCGCAUACCAUCAGAUGUGCCCAGAUGGGAUUAGCUAGUUGGUGGGGUAACGGCUAACUAAGGCGACGAUCCCUAGCUGGUCUGAGAGGAUGACCAGCAAAACUGGAACUGAGACACGGUACAGACUCCUACGGGAGGAAGCAGUGGGGAAUAUUGCAAAAUGGGGGAAAGCGUGAUGCAGCCAUGCCGCGUGUAUGAAGAAGGCCGUCGGGUGGUAAAGUACUUUCAGCGGGGAGGCGUUACCCGCAGAAGAAGCACCGGCUAACUCCGUGCCAGCAGCCGCGGUAAUUC